CUGUUAGGGGAAUGAUGUAUUAUCAUAGAGCACUAAAAAUGUUCUCAUUUCUAGAUACUGCAUCUGAGGUGGAUAUUAG